rnacentral:pre_miRNA from 1 species
CAAUGCCUUUUGCCCCACCCACUCUCCCCGCCACGUGGUUGUCGGGCGAGGGCCUCGGGGUAGCAC